UGCCAGCAGCCGCGGUAAUACGGAGGGUGCAAGCGUUAUCCGGAAUCAUUGGGUUUAAAGGGUCCGCAGGCGGCUCAAUUAAGUCAGAGGUGAAAUCCCGCAGCUUAACUGUGGAACUGCCUUUGAUACUGGUUGACUUGAGUUAUACGGAAGUAGAUAGAAUAUGUAGUGUAGCGGUGAAAUGCAUAGAUAUUACAUAGAAUACCGAUUGCGAAGGCAGUCUACUACGUAUAUACUGACGCUAAUGGACGAACGCGAGGCGAGCGAACAGGAUCGCAUA
rnacentral:rRNA from 1 species